CUGGGACUCGCUGCGUUUUCUUUUGGCAUUUACAGCCCUGAAAAAUGAUUGCAGCUUCCUCUGGCCGCAGAGCUGGAGCCUGAAGAGACAAAACGAGGCGAUUCGCCUGCAUGGGGUACUCCUCUCUCCUUGUGGGCCCUGCCACAAAUCGGAUACGGAUCUCCAUCCCCCGGACUUUCACACCGAGUUACACAGAGGAGAAAAUGGGGAUAAAAGUUAAACUGAG
rnacentral:lncRNA from 1 species